UACAGAGGGGGCAAGCGUUGUUCGGAAUUACUGGGCGUAAAGCGUGCGCAGGCGGCGCGUUAAGACAGGUGUGAAAGCCCCGAGCUUAACUUGGGAAUUGCGCUUGUGACUGGCGUGCUGGAGUGUGGCAGAGGGAGGUGGAAUUCCACGUGUAGCAGUGAAAUGCGUAGAGAUGUGGAGGAACACCGAUGGCGAAGGCAGCCUCCUGGGCCAGCACUGACGCUCAUGCACGAAAGCGUGGGGAGCAAACAGG
rnacentral:rRNA from 1 species